rnacentral:rRNA from 1 species
UGGGGAAUAUUGCACAAUGGGCGCAAGCCUGAUGCAGCGACGCCGCGUGCGGGAUGGAGGCCUUCGGGUUGUAAACCGCUUUUGUUCAAGGGCAAGGCGGGUCUUCGGGCCCGUUGAGUGGAUUGUUCGAAUAAGCACCGGCUAACUACGUGCCAGCAGCCGCGGUAAUACGUAGGGUGCAAGCGUUAUCCGGAUUUAUUGGGCGUAAAGGGCUCGUAGGCGGUUCGUCGCGUCCGGUGUGAAAGUCCAUCGCUUAACGGUGGAUCCGCGCCGGGUACGGGCGGGCUUGAGUGCGGUAGGGGAGACUGGAAUUCCCGGUGUAACGGUGGAAUGUGUAGAUAUCGGGAAGAACACCAAUGGCGAAGGCAGGUCUCUGGGCCGUUACUAACGCUGAGGAGCGAAAGCGUGGGGAGCGAACAGGAUUAGAUACCCUGGUAGU